rnacentral:rRNA from 1 species
UACGGAGGGUGCAAGCGUUAUCCGGAUUCACUGGGUUUAAAGGGUGCGUAGGUGGGCAGGUAAGUCAGUGGUGAAAUCUCCGGGCUUAACCCGGAAACUGCCGUUGAUACUAUUUGUCUUGAAUAUUGUGGAGGUUAGCGGAAUAUGUCAUGUAGCGGUGAAAUGCAUAGAUAUGACAUAGAACACCAAUUGCGAAGGCAGCUGGCUACACAAAUAUUGACGCUGAUGCACGAAAGCGUGGGGAUCAAACAGG